rnacentral:rRNA from 1 species
GACGAACGCUGGCGGCGUGCUUAACACAUGCAAGUCGAACGGAAAGGUCUCUUUCGGGGGGUACUCGAGUGGCGAACGGGUGAGUAACACGUGAGUAACCUGCCCUUGACUUUGGGAUAACUUCAGGAAACUGGGGCUAAUACCGGAUAGGAGCUCCUGCUGCAUGGUGGGGGUUGGAAAGUUUCGGCGGUUGGGGAUGGACUCGCGGCUUAUCAGCUUGUUGGUGGGGUAGUGGCUUACCAAGGCUUUGACGGGUAGCCGGCCUGAGAGGGUGACCGGCCACAUUGGGACUGAGAUACGGCCCAGACUCCUACGGGAGGCAGCAGUGGGGAAUAUUGCACAAUGGGUGGAAGCCUGAUGCAGCAACGCCGUGUGCGGGAUGACGGCCUUCGGGUUGUAAACCGCUUUCGCUCAUGACGAAGCUUUGUGUGACGGUAGUGGGUAAAGAAGCACCGGCUAACUACGUG